UUGUCUGAGCUGAAGUCAUAAUCAAUUCAGUGUAUAUCACGACAGGUCCCUUUUACAACUCUGGUGGAACAGACUGAUGUCUUUCAGAAGAUUCAAUACAUUCAUAAAUCAACAUCAGACAUUUCCAGCAUAAUAGAGGAAAUUGGAACAAUUUCAUUAACUGCUACACUGAAAGACUCACCAUAGGUGGAAUGCAUCUCACAAAUCUCUGCCACUAAAAGAAUUCUACAACCGUAUCCUUUUAUUUUUGUUUUUGUUUGUUUGUUUCUAAGCCCUAGUGGUCUGUGAUGAGGAGAUCACAUGAAGAUGGAAAUGAGAUGUUUUAAUUAACUGCAAUGUGUAGAUCAAUGGUCUGAAACAAAGAUUCAUACCACUACAAUUGGCAGCUGAAUUUUCUCUCUCCUGGAAUCACCUUCCUCUUCUAAUGCUUGGAAAUGGAAAUAUAGGGAUUAAAAUGUAGUCAUUAUGCACCUGGAAGCCCUUGAGGAAAUUGUGGUAUUGAGCAACCGACAGGCGAUCUGUUAAAGCAUCUCGAAGAGCACUGGAAAAAGGGCCUUCAGGAGUGAGCAAUUCUCUUUCAGCUGAGGAGGAUCCCAUCAGUGCUACUCCUAGACCAGCCAAAAGAACUUAGCACAGCAGCAAAGGCAUUCCCCUGGCUCUGUCUGUGGCUUCUGCAAGCUAGAGGGUACUGGAAUGAGGAAACUGGGGAAGGCGACUCUGAUGUAGUGGGGGACAACAGAUGAAGAUCCUGGAAGGGGAGCCUGGGAUGAGGCUCCAGAAGGAGUGAUGGCUGGGACUGGCCAGGUGCAGAGCCUGGGACAAAGAUUCAGGAAUGAGAACCCUGCCUCAUGUAAUGCACAGGAUGGACUUGCUCUGGGGAUGAAUCAGGGUUAUGUAGUGAAGGAAUCCGUGUCUUGUCUGGUGCAGAAAUUGAAAGUAGGUUGACAUUUUGCAGGACAAUACAUCACCAUGAAGGUAACAGAUCCGGGUUUCAGGGAGCCUCCUUAACAGCCGUCCCAUAAAGAACUCGCUUCCAAAAUCCUCCGUGCGAACAAAUGCUCCAUAUUUCAGGAAUCCCACCUCAUAAGGAGUGAACUCAACCCAUUCUGCAAACAGACCCACAAAAAAGACAUUUAGAAACGUCUCCCAAAUGACUGGAAAGAGAGAAAC